UGGGGAAUAUUGCACAAUGGGGGAAACCCUGAUGCAGCAACGCCGCGUGGAGGAUGACACAUUUCGGUGCGUAAACUCCUUUUAUAUAGGAAGAAAAUGACGGUACUAUAUGAAUAAGCGCCGGCUAACUCCGUGCCAGCAGCCGCGGUAAUACGGAGGGCGCAAGCGUUACUCGGAAUCACUGGGCGUAAAGAGCGUGUAGGCGGAUAGAUAAGUUAGGAGUGAAAUCCUAUGGCUCAACCAUAGAACUGCUUCUAAAACUGUCUAUCUAGAGUAUGGGAGAGGUAGAUGGAAUUUCUGGUGUAGGGGUAAAAUCCGUAGAGAUCAGAAGGAAUACCGAUUGCGAAGGCGAUCUACUGGAACAUAACUGACGCUGAGACGCGAAAGCGUGGGGAGCAAACAGGAUUAGAUACCCCCGGUAGUC
rnacentral:rRNA from 1 species